GGAAGGGAGAGAAAAGGAGGCUGAAGCAGCUUUGUUUUUGCCUCACAAGGCAGCGGCAGCGGCGGGAGCGUGCAUGUGUGUACUUGAGAGGUGAGGAGGGGACAGAGUCACUACUUGCAAACAACACAAAUAUAGUGUCCCUACUUUGCGGAUUUUCACUUUUCGUGGGUGGUCCUGGAAUGUAACCCCCACGAUAAGUGAGGGAACACUGUAUUGCACUUUGACUCAUCACACCACAAAAGGCUGGCUACUCGAUCCAUUCAAAACACCCCAUCAUCAUUCUAUGACCUUUUAAAAAGUAUCAUUGCUGAUGGGAUGCAUACAGAUUUUUCUGUCAUACACAAAAACAGCACUUCAGCAAUGGAAGAAUCCACAAUAUUUGAAAAACACAAUUAGAAUUCCAUCUGCAAAUAAUUUGUUUCUGUGAUGCUUUGCAGACAGAUUUCAGCGAAAUACUGAUGGGAUGGGCAAACAUCAUGUGAUGGGACCCAUUCAAAAUCAUUCUCAAACUGUCUCAGGAACCGAGUAUCUUCUAAUGUGAUAAAGUCCUUCAACACUUGGGAUACAGAGAUAUGUGAAACUGUCCAGAUAGACCAUUGAUGUACAUCAUUUUAAUUAAUCUUCCAUGAAGAUCUAGUUAUAUUAGUGAACAUAUAACUUUAUAUAGCAAGAAAGGGCAAACUGUGGUGCUAUCACAGAGAAGAUCCUCUUCUAUGUCCUUCCACCAUGUGCUACCCAUACCUGUGGGUAAGGGAGUCUCUUCCAAUAGAGUUCUUAGGAAGACAUUGAGAGAAAGGGACCUUUCCUUGAUUAUUGAGCCCCCAAACCUUUUAGGGCUUUAAAUGUUAUCACCGGCAAUCUGAUUUCAGUCCAGAAAUCUAUUGGCAACCAGCAUUUUUUUUAAAAAAAAAUAACAAUGUUAUAUGGCUUCUGAAUGGUGUUCCAGUCAGCAAUUCAAGUGCUGCAUUUUGCAUCAGCUGCAGUUUCCAAGUUGUCUACAAGGGUAGCCCCAUAUAGAAUGUUGUACAGUUGUCUCAUUAGGAAGUUACCAAUACAUAGAUUACUAUGCCUGUCCAGGAAACCUAAGAAACCAGUUGAAUCUGGCCUCAAGCACUCCAAACCACACAGUCUACUUGGGUAUCCAGUGACAAAGAUGGCUCUAGGGCCUAUUUCAAGUUAUGUACCAGCUUCUUUAGACGACCACAUCCAAGGCAGGUAGUUCAGCCAGUUUACGGGCCUGACUAACCCAAUCUGUUGGUCAUCACAAUCACAUCUACACAUUACCUAAAAUAUUGUUAGUGGAAUCACUUGGAUCUCAGCAAGUGUAAGGACUAGAAACUUCACUCUAAUGAUGUGUAAGAAUCCAAGCUGAAUAUUGCAACACAUAGACAGCAGGUGGCAUGCUUAGAAACCAGGCAAAACCUGGCAGUAUAAGCCACAUACAGAUGAUGCAGCCAAGCACAGGCUCUGAAGAUUCAUCAUGCACUAUUUUCUGAAGUCGGAUGUUGACCUUACGGACCUCAAUUGUAAGCAUUGUUUUCUAAAAUUCAGUCUCAUCAUUAGAUAGAGAGAGUGAAGGAAAUAUACACUCAUCCACUACUAUGAUGUGUUGUUCUCUGAUUCCCUCUUUCUGUAUUCCUAAUCCACUCUCAUCUAGCCCUUCUGGUUUCUUGUUUCCUUAGGUCUCUAAUUCUCCUUUUGAGAGUAUGACUACUUGCCAAUC
ensembl:lncRNA